rnacentral:miRNA from 11 species
GACAUGUGUGUGUGUGUGUGUGUGUGUGUGUGCGCGCGCGUGCACGCACGCACGCACACACACACACACCACAC